GAAAGAAUAGAAAGACUCUGUGAGAACCUACAGGUCAUGAUGGUGCCUGUACCCAGGCUCUGUAGGGCUGUUUACUCCAUUGUGAUGUCCUUGUUGAUAUGAUAGCAUUGAAAUUAUCUUCCAAAUUUGAGAACAUUCUGGACAAUUCUCCCCCGGAGUUUGCCGUGAGAGCUCUGGACAUCAAAAGAUGUACCUGUGAGCUCAGCAGUGAGGACCAGUUGGACCUGAUCUGCUGUGUCUUCCUUCACCAACCUGAUUUGUAGUAAAAGAGACCGUGAAGGCAAACAGGACAUUUUGGAGCCUACCCGAAUAUACUUUCCCUCUGUAACUGCAUCCAUCCUGCUGGCAGUGGGCAGCUCAAUCUUAAGGCUACAUCUUUUCAAGUGCAGUGAUUUGAAAACUGAAGUUGAUGUUUCUCCACUUGAUGGGCUUCUCUCUAAAUCAGACUAAUUAACUCCACUGCAGACUAACAACAAGGAAAUGGGCCCUGGAGCUUGGAAGGCAUG